UUUGUUUUUUCGCACAAACGGCCUCAAAUCGUUGAGAGAAUUCUCUCUGUAAGUGCCAACCCUCCGUGCGUGUCCCGCUGAGAAGAAAUGGCAAUCAAAACCCGCAACAUGGGCAUAGAUGGUAAAAACCGUCAGGGAUGUCGCCCGUCACAAAGGAGUGAAGAUAGCUUGGAACUUAAUUACGACAAAGCAUUACCACGAGAGGAACGAAAAAGCUGCUGCAAGACGGGGAAAUCUGCUGCAUUAAUCUGGUGUUUAUGCUAAUUUGAUUCAUUUCGUGCCAGCUAGUGAAAGCCGAAAGGCAUGUCGAAUUAAAGUUGAGCUGCUGCGUGCUGUCUGGAAGCAAGCAAGCCGUUGCGUUCAGUCAUUUGAACAGGAAUCUAAUGACUGUCAAUACUCAUUAGGUGGCUGAAAUUAUGUCCACCAGGUAGCGCGAAUGUCUAAUGUCUUUAGCAGUGACGCAGCGGUCAUUUUGUUCCAAGACUCAGCAGAAACGGCUUGCUGGCCGUGACGUUUCUCACGAUGAAAAUUAAAAGGUGAUUUAGCAUGUAGAAACCAAAUCAUUCAAGUCAGACUUGAAAGUGCCUGUACAUUGCCGAAAUGGCGUGCCUCGUGUGUCUCUAUGCCUGUUCUUAGGCGUACGUCUCAUCCCAUGCAACAGCAAAAAGUAUAACAAACACUUCUUUAACACUGUUGGUUACCUUGUUGCAGCCAAAUGGUGAAAGGUGUGACGAAGACAGAUGGAACCAUUGUAUGCAGCAUGCGGUUGCUGUGAUAUUCAGAAGUAGCAGUGCUGGUGUUAUCCUGAAAUUGCUGUGCUGUUGUAGCUGAGCUGUUCCAUCUGGGUUCCUGACUUGAAAGUUUUUGUGUUGUUGUUUGCCUGCCAGUAUUUUGUGUUGUGACUUCAAAUAGUUUGAUCUGUCGUCUUUUGAGUUUUCAUUCAAUCACGCAGCAUACGACUGAGGCAACCUGAUCACUGUCGGGUUUGACACAGUCGAGAACUGCUAGAUAAAACAAGCUUUCUGCGCCAAACAAAUAAUAAUUUGCAUAUAACUUGCAUCAUGUUAUUAUCGCGGUAGAGAAAGCGACAGGCCCCCCCCCCCUGGGGGCCACAGAAAAAAUAUGAAUGUAAAUAUUA